rnacentral:lncRNA from 1 species
GGAGGUGGAGCUUAGACAGUAAUGCUCACUCACCAGCUGCUCACCUCCUGCUGUGAGGCCCAGUUCCUAACAGGCCAGACUGGUAAGGGUCCUCGGCCCAGGGGGCUGGGGACCCCUGCUCUAGGGGAAAAAUACCAGAUUAGGUUCCUCUUAGCCUCUGGUCACAUUUUUAUCAAUCGGUCAAUACAUAACCUCGUUUUAUAUGUGUUUCUGUUUAAAGACACCUUAUUUAAUAUUUGUUGAUUCAGUAAGACUGAACUCAUGGCUAACAGCACUUCAACUCUGCCUGAACAAAGCUUAUCUAAUACAUGUAUUUUCUCAGUAAGGCACAUUACAGCCUUCUUGUGUUUAGAAACACUAGACAGAACUUCAGCACUAUGCUUGGGGAUCUUUUUAAACAGUGAAAUCACCAACAAAAAGCACAAAAAUGCAAAAAACAUGGUACCCGAUAUAUGACAAAGAAGACACUUGUUUACAGGAUGAGAGGUGAAAUAAGUACACAAAACACUGCCUUGUGCCACCUCAGCUGGGAAUGUGCACGUCAGGAGACUCAGAUGUUUUCACUGCCCUGUCCAUGUGAAUGUCUGAGAUUAACAGCCAAAGCAUGCUGUUUGGUCUGUUCAGGCUGGUAAAACAAAAUACCUCAGACUGUUAUUUAUAAACAUGAAAUUUACAGUCCACAGUGCUGGAGGCUGGAAAGUCCAGGAUCAAGGCACCAGCAGAUUUGGUGCCUGGUGAGGGCCCUGUUUCUAACAGAUGGUGGAGGGGACAACGGAAGCCCUCAAGCUGCUUUUGUAAGGGCAAAAAUCCCCUUCACGAGGGCUCUGCCCUCACAGCCCACCUAAUCACCUCCCAAAGGCCCCACCUCCUAAUACCAACACAUCAGGGAUAAGAUUUCAACAUACACGUUUUGGAGGGACACAAACAUUCAGUCCAUACAUGAACAGCCACCUCUGUGCCACAAUGCUACUGGGACGCAGAGGUGAAGAGGUGCCACCACCGUCAAGAGGCCUUGGAGAAAGACCAUGGCACAUUAAAGAAAUAAUCGGAGGCAGCACUGGAAAAAGGAGCAUCUGGAUGCAGUAAAGACCCAUCCCUUCCCGCACUGGAGCUGUUGGCUCAUCCCUGGAAAUCACAACAAUCAAGAAUGGAGAAUCGUUCUUUUCAUCCCUUCUCACAGCAUUAUCCCAGCAACCUCAUCCCCUAACAAUGGUGUGGUCUGUGUUAUGUUUUCCCUCCAUCACUGCCCCUCCCUGCUGCUGCACAACAGAGGUGCUGUGCCCCAGAGGCCGCUGAGGUUGCAGGCCUCUCAGCCUCUGAAACAAGGCUGUGAGCGUUUGGAUGCACCCUCAGAAGGAGCUGCAUAAAUAAUCAGAUGAAAAACACCAAACCUUAACUAAAAAUGAAUUUUUUUUCCUCCAUUUUUUCCUCCAUUAAACCAGCUAAAAGAUUUUCAUGACAAUUCCCUGUAGUGUGAUAAAACAGACACCCUUGCAUGUUGCUCUGAACUAUUUGUUAGUAUUAUGUGUUUGGAAAAUAAUCUGGCAGUAUUUCAAAUGCCUUAAAAAUGUUCAUCCCUUUGUGCCCAAUAAUUCUCAUUUCUGGCAUCUGACUUUAAGGUAAUAAUUCAAAGGAAAGAAAAAGAUGUAUGUAUGAAGAUAUAUAUUGCAGUACUAGUUGGGGAAAAAAGUGGUAGAGUUUCUGUUCUUUACAGUUUUCUCCCAUGUUUUCCUCUCUAACUUACCCUUAGGCUUGGUAACAUUCAUCUCUAUGGCUCUUGAUAGAACCAGACAUAAUGACAGAAACUGGAAUUUCUCACCCAUGUUCACAACCUAAACAAGAUCUGCUAUAAAAAUAAUUUACUAUAUGACUAAUCAUACUUAGCAGAGAGCCACAUUUGAGGCCUUUUCAUUUUUAUGAGAUAUAAAAUUAUUAAAGUGCACUUAAAAUAAAAAAUUAACUUACACAUUUAUUAUUCUACUGUAAACCAGGCACUGUGCCACGGGCUGAGGAUACAGCAGUAAACAAAACAGACAUGGUCCAUGAUCUCAGAGCUGAGUAUCUGGCAGAGAUAUAAAGAAACAGACUUUUUUUUUUUUUUGAGACCGAGUCUUGCUCUGUCACCCAGGGUGGAGUGCUGGAGUGCACCGGUGUGAUCUCGGCUCACUGCAACCUCUGCCUCCUGGGUUCAAGCAAUUCUCCUGCCUCAGCCUCCUGAGUAGCUGGGAUUACAGGUACACACCACCACACUGGCUAACUUUUGCAUUUUUGUGGAGAUGGGGUUUCGCCAUGUUGGCCAGGCUGGUCUGGAACUCCUGGCCUCGAUCUGCCCCUGCUUGGCCUCUCAAAGUGCGGGGAUUACAGGCAUGAGCCACUGCGCCCAGGUGAGAAGAAACAGAUAAUUUUGAAAAACAAUUUUAUUUUCUUUUUUUCUAGAGACAGGGGUCUCACUAUGUUUCCCAGGCAGGAUUUGAGCUCUUUGGCUCAAGCAAUCUUCUUGCCUCAGCCUCCCAGUAGGUGGGACUACAGGGAUGUACCAUCAUGCCCAGCUAAGAAACAGGUAAUUAUGAUAAAGCAUGAUCAAUAUUAUGAUCAAGGAAAAUAUGGUGCACCAUGAGAAUUAAUAGCAAGGAAGAGGGUCUUAUCCUUGUUCAAUGUGGGAAGAAGAUAAGGAAUUUGGACAUCAUCCUAAGGACAACAG